GCAAAAUUGAAAGCUGAUUGCAGAGACUCGAGGCGGUUUUUGAGCACAUCAGGCAAGCGAACAAUAAGGGGCAGCUGCAAGCCAAGACCGCCCAUGGAUUUCUGAUCUGAAACUUUUCUCACGAUCUUCAAGAGAUCAAUUUCUUGAUGAGGCAGGGUGUCAGCCCCAUAAGGACGGACGGCUAUGUUGCCGGAGGAGUUGACAGAAAAGUAAGGAGCUCCCCAAGCGUCGAUCUUGUAGAGUGCAGAGGAGAGGGAAGGUGACCAAUGGGAAGGAGA
rnacentral:misc_RNA from 1 species